rnacentral:rRNA from 1 species
UACGUAGGGUGCAAGCGUUAAUCGGAAUUACAGGGCGUAAAGCGUGCGCAGGCGGUUAUGCAAGACAGAUGUGAAAUCCCCGGGCUCAACCUGGGAACUGCAUUUGUGACUGUAUAGCUAGAGUACGGUAGAGGGGGAUGGAAUUCCGCGUGUAGCAGUGAAAUGCGUAGAUAUGCGGAGGAACACCGAUGGCGAAGGCAAUCCCCUGGACCUGUACUGACGCUCAUGCACGAAAGCGUGGGGAGCAAACAGG